CCUACGGGAGGCAGCAGUGGGGGAUAUUGCACAAUGGGGGGAACCCUGACCCAGCAACGCCGCGUGAAGGAAGAAGGCUUUCGGGUUGUAAACUUCUUUUGACAGGGAAGAGCAGAAGACGGUACCUGUCGAAUAAGCCACGGCUAACUACGUGCCGGCAGCCGCGGUAAUACGUAGGUGGCAAGCGUUGUCCGGAUUUACUGGGUGUAAAGGGCGUGUAGCCGGGCUGACAAGUCAGAUGUGAAAUCCGGGGGCUCAACCCCCGAACUGCAUUUGAAACUGGCGGCCUCGAGUGGGCGAGAAGUAUGCGGAAUGCGUGGUGUAGCGGUGAAAUGCAUAGAUAUCACGCAGAACUCCGGUUGCGAAGGCAGCAUACCGGCGCCCGACUGACGCUGAGGCACGAAAGCGUGGGUAUCGAACAGGAUUAGAUACCCUAGUAGUC
rnacentral:rRNA from 1 species